CAAAAAAAUGAUGGAUUUAUUGAUUUCUUUCCGUAAAAAAUUUAAGACAAAGAGUUUGAUGUUUUAAGUAUUUUACAACGCAAUUUCUUUGUUCUUUGCCUUCAUCAGCUACAAAACAUCGUAAUAAAAUCUUAAUGAAAUUUCCCUAAUGUUUUUGUUGAUUAUUUUGUAAGAUGUCAGAAAUUUCCGCGCUGUCAUUCAUUAAUCAUUCGACUUUUAUCAACAUCAUCAAAAAUUAACCGGAAUUUCGCGCAAAAAUGGCGCAGAAAUAGAAUUUUGGCCGCAAAACAAUUCAAGUGUAAUUAUUAAAGCAUGAAACGCGAAGAAAACGCCGAAGAGCGGCGAUAAAUUGCCGCAUAAAUAACAGAAAAGUACAAGAAAUUAAAUAAAUUGCGUGCGUGCGCGGAUCGUUCGCGUUCUCUUCGAGGGCGCUUUUAUAGAUGCUUAACCACCCUUCAGACACUCGGCGAGCUCGGAGAUGUGAAUGAAGAAAAGCAGCAGCAGCAGCAGCAGUGGAAAGGGUGCGAGGGCAGGAAAAUUGGCCGUUCCGGCUCGUAAAACAAGAUGUCAUCGACUGCUGCGUGUGGCAAGGGAGGGCGUCAUCGUUGACUUCAAAGUUUUACGACAUAAUACGCCAGUGACGCCAGUUUUGGGACGUUUUAUAAGAUUUUACGUCGUUUUGUUAUCCCGCGUGUGUCAAUUUCCGCCGAUUUAUGUCGAUUGACCCUCCUCCCACAGCAACCCCUCCAAUUAUCCCGCCCCCAUUUAUAGUUUCCAGCGUUUUGCGACGUUUUUGAGCUUGAUAUCUCUUGUUUUCUGCAUUUUGAACAAUAAAACUGCACGCAGUUCAUUGUA